rnacentral:lncRNA from 1 species
CCUUUACCUCUUGUUCCUCAUCCGAUGAUGAUGAUGAUGAAUCGGAGUCCGACAAAGUGGAGACGAGGACUUUCUUUUUCUUAUGUUUGCUGCCCUUCUUAAGCAAGGGACAGUCAACUCUAAAAUGUCCCGGCUUCUUGCAUUCAUAGCAUCCGAUUCAUUCACUUUCCCUUUUCUUACCUUUAUCCUUGUUGUAGGAACUUAAGGGACCUCUCCUCUGAUGAAAGGACUUCUUCCGGUUGGUGAAUUUUCUGAACAUUCGCACGAAAAGAGCCUCAUCAUCAUCUUCCUCAUUAUCUUCUUCUUCGCUGCUGCUACUGCAAGAUAAAUCCUUGUUAGACAAAGUAGAUUUGAGGGCUAUUACCUUUUUCUUAUGCGAGGAUUCUUCUUCGCUGUGUUGUUUCAUUGUGAGCUCGUGCGUCAUCAGGGAUCCAAGAAGCUCUUCAAGUGGAAGUGUCAGGAUCAAGCGCUACCAUUAUACCAAAACCCGCAGGUGUUAGUGAAGGCGCAACUUUAUUUUCUUAAACUAGCGCAGGGGCCCAUAGCGCCACGAGUC